rnacentral:rRNA from 1 species
CUGGUUUAUUUCGAUAACGAACGAGAUCUUAACCUGCUAAAUAGUAACGCGUAUCUCCGGAUAUUCGAUUACUUCUUAGAGGGACUUUGUGGUUUCAACUGCAAGGAAGUUUGAGGCAAUAACAGGUCUGUGAUGCCCUUAGAUGUUCUGGGCUGCACGCGCGCUACACUGAUGCGUUCAACGAGUUUAUAACCUUGCCCGGUAGGUUGGGUAAUCUUUUGAAAACGCAUCGUGAUGGGGAUAGAUUAUUGUAAUUAUUAAUCUUCAACGAGGAAUUCCUAGUAAGCGCUAGUCAUCAGCUAGUGCUGAUUACGUCCCUGCCCUUUGUACACACCGCCCGUCGCUGCCUCCGAUUGAGUGGUCCGGUGAAUAAUUCGGACCGACAACUCGUUUGGUUCGCCGAACUUGUUGUUGGAAAGUCUAGUAAACCUUAUCACUUUAGAGGGAGCAAAAGUCGUAACAAGGUUUCCGUAGUGAACCUGCRGAAGGAUCA